UACGGGGGGGGCAAGCGUUGUUCGGAAUUACUGGGCGUAAAGGGCUCGUAGGCGGCCAACUAAGUCAGACGUGAAAUCCCUAGGCUCAACCUAGGAACUGCGUCUGAUACUGGAUGGCUUGAAUCCGGGAGAGGGAUGCAGAAUUCCAGGUGUAGAGGUGAAAUUCGUAGAUAUCUGGAGGAACAACAGUGGCGAAGGCGGCUCACUGGACUGCAACUGACGCUAAGGCGCGAAAGCGUGGGGAGCAAACAGG
rnacentral:rRNA from 1 species